CCACAAUGUUUGAGAUGAAACCAUGAGGAUCAAAGGUCACGUUGAAGGUAGAAGAAUGAUUGUUGCUGUGAUCUUCAGCAGCAGGUGGAAAACAUGUCAGCUGCUCAUUUACACUCGUCAAAGUAGUUCUUGGUGCCAAUUUGGCACAGACGAGAGG